rnacentral:rRNA from 1 species
GCCUACGGGAGGCAGCAGUGGGGAGUAUUGCGCAAUGGGCGAAAGCCUGACGCAGCGACGCCGCGUGAGGGAUGGAGGUCUUCGGAUCGUAAACCUCUGUCAGCAGGGAAGAACGGUCACUGUGCUAAUCAGCAGUGAAUUGACGGUACCUGCAAAGGAAGCACCGGCUAACUCCGUGCCAGCAGCCGCGGUAAUACGGAGGGUGCGAGCGUUAAUCGGAAUUACUGGGCGUAGAGCGCUCGUAGGCGGUAUGUCAAGUCAAGGGUGAAAUCCCCGCGCUCAACGUGGGAACUGCCUUUGAAACU